rnacentral:rRNA from 1 species
UACGUAGGGUGCAAGCGUUGUCCGGAAUUAUUGGGCGUAAAGGGCUCGUAGGCGGUCUGUUGCGUCAGGAGUGAAAACUCGGGGCUUAACCCCGAGCCUGCUUCUGAUACGGGCAGACUAGAGGUAUGCAGGGGAGAACGGAAUUCCUGGUGUAGCGGUGAAAUGCGCAGAUAUCAGGAGGAACACCGGUGGCGAAGGCGGUUCUCUGGGCAUUAACUGACGCUGAGGAGCGAAAGCAUGGGGAGCGAACAGG